GUAAAACAGGCAGCUAUAGGCAAGGACCCGAACUGACACAGUAUCGCAUCGGGCAUGCUCCGCUAGCCUACAGGAUGGAUGGAUGGAUGGAUGGAUGGAUGGAUGGAUGGAUGGAGCAGAGGAGCCCAGCGACAGCCGGAGCGCGCUGGAGCCCAGGCAGCGCAGCCUCCCCGGGACAGCUUAGCCCUAAGCGGGGAGCCAGGAGGUGAAGAGGGAGCCGGGAAGGUGGUGGUGAGGAUGGUGAGGGCUCUGCUCCCCUCCCCGCUCCCCAAAAAACCUGCGGAGGUUCGGCGCGGAGAGGUGCCGCUCGCCCGCAGAGGGAUGCGCAGAGACGCGGCUCGGCGCUGCCGCGGUACCGCCGGGGACAGGGGGGCUCGGGGGUUCUCCCACCGCCCCCCCCCGGAGCCUCCUCGGAGCUCACAGCCUGCCGAGAGGGAUGGGACACGGGACAGGGCGGUGGGGACCACCGGGGCAGUGGGUCCCCCAACCCCUCAGCCCGGCAGGCGGAGGGGCGAUGCGGGGGAGGUCGGUGAUGGUGGGGCCUCCCCCAGCACCCUGUUUUGGCCGUGGCUUUGCACCAGGGCAGGAGACGGCAACAGCUAUUAACCCUUUCAUAAUUGUUUGAUUUUUACCUCUUUCCUGGCAUCCUCCCCAACUCCUUGCUCCAUUAACCCAAAAAUAUUGGGAGAAUGGGGUGAGGGGGAUAUCACACCCACCUAGCGCCCCAGGGGAAGAGGGGGGGGGGGGGGAGGGAAAGUUUGAGCAGAUGGAGGAGCAGGAGAUGGGCUGGGGUGAAAGGCUCAGGCUGCAUCCCAACAGCUUUGGGCUAAAGCUGCUGCCCCCGGCUUUACAGCCCGGGGAAGGUUCCCCGGGAAUGAGGAGCCUCCUGAGCAGAGGAGGGGGUCUGAGAAGGGAGUAGAGGGGAGAGAGAUAAGGCUCGAAAAGGGGAGAAGAGCUGGGGGUCUUCAGAAUCUUGUCAGACUUCAGGACCUGCUCCUUGUCUUUAAUCUUUCCUACUGAAAAUGGGGAAACCAACCCCUUUCCCUGACAAAACCACCUCCCUCCCUGCCCAAGGCUGCUGCCUCCCAACAGAGGAGGGGCACAGACCUUCCCGAGGGGCAGAGGUGAAGAUGCCAUCUGCCAUCAACCUUUAUCCCUCUGUCUUAGGGAGGGUGAAGAGCACCCCAUUUCUCCCCACAGGAACUCUCCAGGGCACCUCAACCCCCUUCCCUCGGCCUUCUUUCCCUUUCCUCCCUUCCCUUCACCUCAUCCAGCCCUUUUACCCCCGUUUCCACACCUUCAAACCUCUCGUAUCCCUAAAAAACUUCGCGGGGAAGGAGAAAAGAGAGAAAAUCCUUCCUUCAGGGGAGCUGAGCAGCAAGCCCUGGCUGUGGUGGAGCGCGGCGAACCAGCCUCUCCUCAUCCCCAGCCGGCACUGCAGCAUCGCCGGCCAAAGGCAUCUGUGACAUCUCCAGUUAAGCAGGGACUGGAGCAAAGGGGCAGCUGGGUCCUGAAAUGCGUGUUUUUAGCCGACAGGCGGCUAUGCUGGAUUAGCGCCGUGCAUGCUCCGAAUGGAAAUCUCUCCCUUUCUCUCUCCAGCCUUUCGGGAGUUUGUUUUCCUGCAAGAAGGUUCCCUGCGCCUCCGAGGCCCCCAGGGAUUUUUUCUCUAUUUCUCCAGCUUCUCUCUCUCUCUCUCUCUCCAGCCCUGGCAGGUGCAAACAGGAGAGGGGAAAGCUUUGGAGGGAAACACGGGGUGCUUGGGUAAAGGAGCCUAAGAAGCGUGUCCUGCCCCUGUGAGCCCGGUGGGGCAGCUCUGCCUUGCUUCUGAGGUGGUGGGGGGAGUGAGGGGCACUCACCUUCCCUGUCUUGGGGUUGGGGGAGGCCAGACAGAGCAAGGUGUAGCUGGGAAUCUCUCCUGUGUUGCAGGGCAAAGAAGCUCAGCAUGAGGAAGAAGUGCCAGAAAGUGCCCCUGAAAAAACUAAAACCCAUUUUCAGUCCCCAUUGCUGCAAUGGGGAGUGAUGGAAAACACAUCUUUGUGGGAAUGGGGAGCUGUACUCAAUGCAAUGGAUCAUAAAAUGAUAGAAUAUCCUGAGCUGGAAGGGACCCACAGGGAUCAUCAAGUGCAACUCCUGGCCCUGCACAGGACAAUCUCAGGAAUCGCACCACGUGCCUGAGAGUGUUGUCCACAGAUGCUGAAAAACGUCCCUGCAGCCCACUUCUUUCCAGCCUUAAGUAGAGAAGUUUGUGAAUCCCCAGACUGUCAUUUAACAAAAGGGUAGACAUGACCCAAACCUUAAAAAUGAAGAGAAGACAGGCCUGAGCUCCUCAUUUCUCACUGUGUGCCCUCCGGGGAGAACUGACGGUGAGUUGCAACACUGAACAGGACAUGUGAGGACAGGAUUUGGGGUCUGCAAUGGGUUGAGGUAAUCAAAUGCAAUAACUCACCUGUUCUCUCUGGGUUUGUACAUCUGUGAAGAGAUGAAGAGGAAAUAACUUCACCACAAUGCACAGGGAUCUGUGAAAUUCACUCCUGUAUGAUAUCUGGAGAGCAAAGAAAUCUGUUCCUAGAGCAAGAGAUGCUCGCAAAACAUCAGGUCUCCUAGAAAUCUGCCUUUGGGGAGACAUAUACCCUUCCUUCCAUCCUGCCAACACAGUUAAAGUAUGUAAUCCACAGGUAGAACAGUCCAUACUCUUAAAACAACACAUAUAAGGACACCUUUUUUUUGUGACUGUCCCCCCUGCUCCCCAUGGGGGGGCCUUACUGGGACCACCCUGCCCAGCCCUAGGGCUGUAUGAUUUAUUUAUGACACAGAAAGACUUAGAACAGAGAUCCCUGCCCUGUUUUGCUUGAAACUGUGCAGAAAUUAUGAAAAGGCCUCAGUUCAUCCCAAACUGGCAAUCUCUGUCCCAUCACAACACGGUGUGAUGACUUCUGAAGUAACUCAGAGCAUCACGGGGACUUUCCAGUGUCAUUCCCAGAGGAAGGAGAAGCAGAUAGGAAUAGCAAAAGCACGGAUUAGAAGGCCCAACAGUUUCUGGGACACACCAUCCCCAGACCAUCUUGAUGGUGCUGUAAGGCCAACCCACCCAUGACAGUGUUUGGGAAAGUGCUGGGUGGGUUUUAUGACAAACACUGGCUUUGCUGUCCAAAAACACAACCAAGAGACAGCUAUCAUUCUCUUCUCUGCUCUGUGGCCUUUGUCCAUGGUCUGUUUUCUGUCUGGGUUUUGGAGAUUGAAAAGCUUGAGUUGGAUCCAGCUGUAAUUUUCCACUUCCCUCUGUCACCCCCCCCCCCCCCAGCAAACUCAAUAGAGAUAAACAAACUCUCUACCCUUACAAACACUUUGAAUUUAGAACACACUUAUUGCACAGAAAAUGCCUCUUGUUGUCAGAGGCAACACUGGUCAAGAGAAAAAAAUGGGGUGGGAAUUUCCGUGGAUAAAUGCAGCACCCCUGGGAAUCUGCAAAGAGGUUUUGGGAGAAGGAUUAAGCUGCUUCAGGGGCCUAAGUGGGUCUCAGACUACAAAGUACAUGAGGGAGACAUGAAAGAUAGAGAAAAACAUUUUCUAUCUGCCCAAUUUUUCCACCUUCUUUUGAAGCACCUCACACCGAUGGAAAUAGUCUGUUUGGGCUGGGAACUGUUCAGAGCUGGUUUAGGUUUGAUAACUCUGUCCUCCCACUUCCCACUUUGGAAAGGUAGCAUUGUGGUGCCACUGGAAUAAUAUAUCUGUCCCUAAAAUCUACUGGAAGCAGAAUUCCAAUGCAGAGAAACUGAGUUCAGUUUGUUGGAGGAGCCCCCGUCCUUCCAAGGGCAACCCCAGUCAUUGGAGAUUUAAAUGAGGAUGGCAAGGAAAAAAAAAAAAGGGAAUGCCUGGGAUUCCCAGAGGAUGUGUUUGAAGAGGAUAACUGCAAAGGAGGACAGCUUGUAAGUAAUCAGUUUACUUCCCCUCCAGCAACAGAUACCACUGUGUUUACAUCUAUAGCACCUUGCAUUGUGUCUGGUUAAAGAUCUGCUUAAACAUUUCAAAUUUCCAGCCAGUCACAUCCGUCUGCUGAAGGGUAACAUGGAAUAAGUCAGCUUUACACAGGACUUGAAGAGGAUUUUCCCAUUCCCCCCUCUCACAUGGCUGCUGGUUUGUCAUUUCCACCUCACUUUUGUUGUUGUUGUUGUUGUUGUCAUCAAUUUUUUAUACAUAUUUCUAAUGACUUUUCACUCCUGUUACCAGCUGUGGUUUCUGCUGGUAGGAGCUGCUCAGGAGUGUUAAUGUUCACAUCAUCACAUGUCUAACCCAGCAAUCACAGCCUCUCCUAAGGGCAAGGGAGGAAAGUCCUGUUCCUCCUCACAUGGGUUGUAUCUAUUAAGUGAAGGAAUUUUCUGUGUUCAAGGAGUGUCCUGUCUCAAAGUCCUCCAUUCUUGGACAACUUGCAAAGAGGCUUCUCCUAAAAUGGGAAUUUAGCAUUAAGCCCAUUUUCUAGACUUGUAAAGUGAGGCAGGGCAGCAGUUCCAGCUUCCCAAGUGACAGCACGGAAAACUCUAACUCCAGCCCCCUCCCUUAACCAGCCUGCUUUGCACACCAGGGUCAGGGGACAACUUCAUGGAGCCCAAAAGAAGAGUCCUAAUGAGGGGAACAAGCACCAGCACACACAGUCAUGGCCAGUGACAGUGGAUGGAGCUUGGAUGAGUGACUGCAAUGUUGGUGAAGAAGCCACUCACCAGAGUUCCAAAGCUCUGGGAUCAUCAAGGGGAGAGGAUAGAACCCAACCCUGAAAGCAUUUGUGGUGCUGGUUCUGGCAGCAGGAAGGAGUGAUGGAGCCCCGAGCCUAAAUGUUCACAGUUCUUCUCUUUUUCCAGAGCUUUGAACAGAUCCUGAGUUUUUCUAUUUCCUCACUCCCUGACUAGGAACAGAAGUGAUGGGGAGGAGAUGUUCAUGACAUCCUUCUGCUGCCUUCCCAUUCCCCAAUGACCACCUACAGCCACUGUGGCUCCAACUUCCUUUACCUCUUCCCCCCAUCUCUUCCACGUGUCCAUUCCCUGACACACACACUCCUGUGGGGAUCACAGGAGCUUUACACAUCACUUCUGGCCAGGCUAUGGAGGGAGAGGAAUUCCUCCUCCUGUGGCAAGGCCAAAAGCUGGUGAAGAUCCAGGAACCAGAGGUUGAGGACCGAGAGUGCGAAGGUUUUAGAGUUAGAGGCAUUUAAAUUGGAUCACUGAGGAAGCCAAUUUCCCAUCUGGAAUGGCUGGAAUUCCUUUGUGCUGCUCUUCAGGUGCUUUCCUGCCGACCUGCAACCCCUCUCCAUGCUCUGAGCAUCUCUUGCCGACCCUGGCACCAAACCAAUAGGAGUGGGAUGGACCGGGAUUCCCCUCCCCCGGGAACUUCAUCUUCCCACAACAGCUGUUGGAAGUUUGGAGCCACUUGUUUAAAGCCUCUGUCAGAACAAAAGGUUUCUCUGUCACUGUAAAGCAGCUUCAUUUGCAGGGCUCUCCCGGCCAAUGUGCUUCCCGAGCAGAGCCAUAGAUGGCAGUACGUGGUAUUUCCAGAGUUGUUUCCCCGAGUAAAUCUUCUUAUUUUAGAAGAAAGCGAGAGAAUUUCAUUUCCUUGUAGUUACAACGCGCUCAGAAUGCGAAUCCUAAAUCAAUGGAGGAAGCAAGAAAAGCCUCCUUGCCUGAGCACUGGCAGACAGAGCUUGAAAUGCAAAAUCCCUCUGUGUUGUAUAGGAUUGUCUAUCCCCUUUCACAGGGAUGAUACCUGGAGAGUUGAACAAGAAAACAAUUUUCCAUACUGGAAGAAGAAGCUGAAGAUACCUCAAGUGACUGUCACAAAAGCCUGAAAUGAGCUCAAAAUUCCGGGAUCACUUUCACAAAGCAGCAGCUGGGUACUUGAAUGGGAGUUCAGUUCAGGCCAGUCAAAACAUUUUGAUUUCAGUACAUAUUCUCCCUUUUCUAUUGCUUUAGUAUCACUAGGUUAGCUUUAAAAAUUAAAAAUAAUAUUUCAGCAGUAAUGUUUGGGAUUUUUUUUUUCUUCUUUUCUCCUUCUUAUAGAAAAACACUUCCACACACUGAUGUCUAAUAUCAAUGAACUAAUACUUCUGCCCGAAGACAAAGAUAAGAACCCUAUGGAAGGAAUAUGUAACUGAUAGCAAGUUUCUUUCUCUUCCUGCUGGGUAUUUGGUUUAUCAGAGCAACACAGUGAAGGGACUUUAUCAAUCAAAGCUUUUUAUUAAUUGAAGCUUUUUAAUAACUGAAGUACUGGUACUGCAUCAGAUCAGCUGAUGCUUCUGGCCAGAGCUGGGGCAAACUCACAUCUUCUCCCCUCUUGCAGCAGAAGAAAUGACUCUUACACCCGAAGUUAAACAAAAACACUUUGUAAUGGAGAAAAAAAAAAGAAAAAAAUCUUCAUUAGGAACCCUCCCUCCUUCCACAUUUAAAAUUCCACACAGCCAAUGAGCCCACUAAAUGGUGGCACCUCCAAUGGGAAUUUAUAAAUAAUCCCAGACAGUAAAUGACCAGAUCUGUGGGUGGUUGAGUUGGGUUUGCCUGGCAAGCUUUGUAGUGGGGGGGUGGGAUCCUAUGAGAGGCUUCUAGGAGCUUCUCCCAUGUUCAACAGAGUCAAUGCCAACCAGCUCCAUGAUGGAAUUGCCACUGGGCAUGGCCAAGCCCACCAGCAUCUGUGCCAGCACCUCUGGGAUUUAAGAUUUAAGGUGAGGGGAAAAAAAGAGACGUGUAUAACUCCAAACUAAGAGAGGAGUGAGAAGAUGGGAGAGAAACAGCCCUGAAAACACCCAGGUGAGUGAAGAAGGAGGGGCAGGAGGUGCUCCAGGUGUUGGAGCAGGAAUUCCCCUGCAGACUGUGGUGAGGCAGCUAUGCCCCUGCAGCCAAUGGAUGCCCACGGUGGAGAAGAGAAAAUAAGGACUGAAGGUGAAGGGGAAGAUUUUUUAAGAAGAUUUGUAUUUAUUUCUCAUUACCCUACUCCAAUUUAAUUGGUAAUAAAAUAAUUUCCCCAAGUUGAGUGUGUUUUGCCCGUGACAGUGACUGGUGAGGGAUCUCUCCCUGCGUUUAUCCCAACACAUGAGCAUUUCCUUAUAUUUUCUCUCCCCUGUCCAGCUGAGGGGAGUGAAAAAGUGCCUUUGAUGGGCACCUGCCACCCAGCCAGGGUCAGCCCACCACAGUCAUCUUCUUGCCCCCAUGUUCCCAGCACCUAGGGACUGAACUUCACUUGAUUUAUUUGCAUACAAGGACCCAAGUCAGCUCUUCACUGAUGUCAGAAGACAUAAGCAAAAAAAUUCCAAACCAAAACUGCAAAAUUUCACACAUUAGUGUUUUACAACCUCAUUGUUCAGAUUGAAACAUUUCAAAUCAUCUCCCAAGCCUAGUUCUUGGAAAACCAACUGCUACCAGGCUCCCACAGAAAUCAAUGGAGUUGGUGAGUGCUCAGCCCCUUUCAGGAUGUGUUCCUUUGAUUCUCACAUGAAUGAAAAUCUGUGGUUUUCCAACAAUUUUAUUUCACCCAAACAUCCUGAAAUCAAAUGCUGAUCCUGUGGUUGUGUAGAUCACUUGACUUAAACAUAUGUAAAACAUAUUUAUCCCAAAAUGUAGAGCUUAUUGAAGCUACCUUGGAAGCCCUUCAGUGGAAGGUGGGAUUAAUCCUGAGUAAGAUAAGAAAAAAAAUUAAGAUUAAAUAAACCAUUCACCUAAACUCAA